CUCCGGUUGAUCCCGCCGGACCCGACUGCUAUCAGAGUGGGACUAAGCCAUGCGAGUCAACAUAGCAAUAUGUGGCAUACGGCUCAGUAACACGUAGUCAACAUGCCCAGGGGACGUGGAUAACCUCGGGAAACUGAGGAUAAACCGCGAUAGGUCAUCACUUCUGGAAUGGGUAAUGACUUAAAUCUAUAUGGCCCCUGGAUUGGACUGCGGCCGAUCAGGCUGUUGGUGAGGUAAUGGCCCACCAAACCUGUAACCGGUACGGGCUCUGAGAGGAGGAGCCCGGAGAUGGGCACUGAGACAAGGGCCCAGGCCCUAUGGGGCGCAGCAGGCGCGAAACCUCUGCAAUAGGCGAAAGCUUGACAGGGUUACUCUGAGUGAUUUCCGUUAAGGAGAUCUUUUGGCACCUCUAAAAAUGGUGCAGAAUAAGGGGUGGGCAAGUCUGGUGUCAGCCGCCGCGGUAAUACCAGCACCCCGAGUGGUCGGGACGUUUAUUGGGCCUAAAGCAUCCGUAGCCGGUUCUACAAGUCUUCCGUUAAAUCCACCUGCUUAACAGAUGGGCUGCGGAAGAUACUAUAGAGCUAGGAGGCGGGAGAGGCAAGCGGUACUCGAUGGGUAGGGGUAAAAUCCGUUGAUCCAUUGAAGACCACCAGUGGCGAAGGCGGCUUGCCAGAACGCGCUCGACGGUGAGGGAUGAAAGCUGGGGGAGCAAACCGGAUUAGAUACCCGGGUAGUCCCAGCUGUAAACGAUGCAGACUCGGUGAUGAGUUGGCUUAUUGCUAACUCAGUGCCGCAGGGAAGCCGUUAAGUUUGCCGCCUGGGGAGUACGGUCGCAAGACUGAAACUAAAGGAAUUGGCGGGGGAGCA
rnacentral:rRNA from 1 species